UACGGGGGGGGCAAGCGUUGUUCGGAAUUACUGGGCGUAAAGGGCUCGUAGGCGGCCAACUAAGUCGGAUGUGAAAUCCCCAAGCUUAACUUGGGAACUGCAUCCGAUACUGGAUGGCUUGAAUCCGGGAGAGGGAUGCAGAAUUCCAGGUGUAGCGGUGAAAUGCGUAGAUAUCUGGAGGAAUACCGGUGGCGAAGGCGGAUCUCUGGGCCAUUACUGACGCUGUGGAGCGAAAGCGUGGGGAGCGAACAGG
rnacentral:rRNA from 1 species